rnacentral:snoRNA from 1 species
GCCCAGGCCACAGUAAUGAGUAGUGCUGCCCUCCCAGCCAGGCUGCUCAUGACCCCAGGCGAGUUACUCAACAUUCGUGACUUAGUUACCCGUCAGUACGGCAGGGGAGCAGCACUUCCUCUAGUUAGUGGUGAAGAACAACU